rnacentral:SRP_RNA from 1 species
ACUCUGCGCAACAGACGGAUACGAACCCCGUCAGGUCCGGGAGGAAGCAGCGGUAAGUAUUGCAGUUUGUGUCGCGGUUAU